UUAUUUUGCCCCUAGAAUUAGCCGAGUAGAGGUGUACAAGUUAGUGUUAGGGCGUGUUGUUACUCUGAGCUGGUACCCCGUUACCCUUUGGGGUCGCUAGGGCUGACAGACCCCUAGGUUACACUGUCACUCUGUACACCGUCCAAACGCACAUAGGGGCAAAAAUCUCUAUUAUUUUAUAGCUGGCGUAUAUACCCCCUGUUGUGGGGAGUCUUGAAGGACCGAUGAUUGGAGUCAUACCGUGGCGAGCAGAAGGUGGUGGGAGAUGUUGCAGUUGUGCUACUUGAGUUACCAAGAUGAGCGUGUGGAGAGGUGGUGGCUGGGCGAAAGAGAGCAAUGGUGAAGUAUGUAUUUGUGAAGAAAGCAUCAUGGAUGGAGGGCAACCAACGCCACACUGCAGAGUAAUGGAAGAGGCUGUGACCUGCAGGUGAGACGCUUGAGUACCGUAGACGUGGAUACCAUCGUGUGUAGUUACUGUUGGGACACAACCUCGAGCUGGUGAAUGAUCAAGUUUUUCUCUUCCAUACAAGAACCGAGUACGGAAGGCGCAGGAGGUACACCAUUGAUGAGCAAGGAAAAGGGAUGGAGGGCGAGGGCAGACUACUGCGGCCAUGAGUUCGACACAUUCCUAGUUACAGCGGCCAGCCGCCGCGUUUGGCCUUUGGGGGUUCGGCGCCACUGGCCCUCGCGGCAUUGGGGGUUUGGGCGGAGCACCGCCAAUGUGAUAAGCCUGGAGAUAGCUUAGAAAUAUUGGCAUGAAUUGUAAUUAGUGUAAUUAAAUUAAUGCAAGUUUCAUGUACUAUCUAUAGAUGUUAUUAAUUGUAAUUGAUUUGUAUUUUAUAAUUAUAAUGAAUAAUCAUUAUAAUUCUUCGUUAAUACUUUGUUAUGCACUAGUCAAUAAUUAAUAAAUGUAAUGAGCAAAUAUUUUGAAUGAAUCAAAUAGCUAAUCAUUAUAUACUAAUAAUAAAAAAUUGUGUAUAAUAUAUACUAAAUUAAUGUAUUAUUUACCAUUAUAAAAUAAAUAAGUCCCCAAUGUGAGGACGUUGUGCUUGAACCUCAGAAAAUGAAGUUUCUAGUAGUGUUAGGUUUCAACGUUGUGUAGUGACUAAUGUUGAAACAGGUUAGUCAAAGGGAAUAGAGAAAUAGCAUAUAUAUGAAUAAUACCUUUGAUGUUUGUAACAUUUUUGCUUUAUCGUCACUUGCACAGUAGUGAGAGUCUGUGUGAGAAAAUCACGUAUCUCCCGGAAUGUGACGGACAGGGCAAAGAUAGUUUUAUUAUGAAUCGUUGCAGAAAUUAGUGAGAAUAUUAUGUGUGAUCGUUAAUGUGUUAAAAUUUAGUGCUGUGGAUGCACACUAUUAUACUCAUAGAUAGUACUAUAUUAACCUGAAAUG
rnacentral:lncRNA from 1 species